AUUGAACGCUGGCGGCAGGCUUAACACAUGCAAGUCGAGCGGGGUGAUGGUGCUUGCACUAUCACUUAGCGGCGGACGGGUGAGUAAUGCUUAGGAAUCUGCCUAUUAGUGGGGGACAACAUCUCGAAAGGGAUGCUAAUACCGCAUACGUCCUACGGGAGAAAGCAGGGGAUCACUUGUGACCUUGCGCUAAUAGAUGAGCCUAAGUCGGAUUAGCUAGUUGGUGGGGUAAAGGCCUACCAAGGCGACGAUCUGUAGCGGGUCUGGGAGGAUGAUCCGCCAAACUGGGGCGGGGACACGGCCCAGACUCCUACGGGAGGCAGCAGUGGGGAAUAUUGGACAAUGGGGGGAACCCUGAUCCAGCCAUGCCGCGUGUGUGAAGAAGGCCUUAUGGUUGUAAAGCACUUUAAGCGAGGAGGAGGCUCUUUUGGUUAAUACCCAAGAUGAGUGGACGUUACUCGCAGAAUAAGCACCGGCUAACUCUGUGCCAGCCGCCGCAGUAA
rnacentral:rRNA from 1 species